rnacentral:rRNA from 1 species
AACGCGAAGAACCUUACCUGGGCUCGAAGCGCAGUGGACCGGGGUAGAAAUAUCCCUUUUCGCAAGAACUGCUGCGGAGGUGCUGCAUGGCUGUCGUCAGCUCGUGUCGUGAGAUGUUGGGUUAAGUCCCGCAACGAGCGCAACCCUUAUCGUUAGUUGCCAGCGAGUCAAGUCGGGCACUCUAGCGAAACCGCCCCGGAUAACGGGGAGGAAGGUGGGGAUGACGUCAAGUCCUCAUGGCCUUUAUGUCCAGGGCUACACACGUGCUACAAUGGCCGGUACAAACCGUCGCAAACCUGCGAAGGGGAGCUAAUCGGAAAAAGCCGGCCUCAGUUCGGAUUGGAGUCUGCAACCCGACUCCAUGAAGCUGGAAUCGCUAGUAAUCGCGGAUCAGCACGCCGCGGUGAAUACGUUCCCGGGCCUUGUACACACCGUAGUAC